GGGUGGUAAUUUCAUCUAAAGCUAAAUAUUGGCCGGAGACCGAUAGCGCACAAGUAGAGUGAUCGAAAGGUUAAAAGCACCUUGAAAAGGGAGUUAAACAGCACGUGAAAUUGUUGAAAGGGAAGCGUUUGCGGCCAGACUCGGGCGUGAGGUUCAGCGGGUGCGUGUCACCCGUGCACUCCUCGCCGCCCGGGCCAGCAUCAGUUCUAACGGCCGGUCAAAGGCCCCCGGAAUGUGUCGUCUCUAGGGACGUCUUAUAGCCGGGGGUGCAAUGCGGCCCGUCGGGACUGAGGAACGCGCUUCGGCUCGGAUGCUGGCAUAAUGGCCGUAAACGGCCCGUCUUGAAAACACGGAC
rnacentral:rRNA from 1 species